UAAGGUCACCUAUUAACAAUAUGCCAUUAAAAAUAACAAAAAUUACAACUCAUGCCAUUCCCCAUAUAUAUUAUUGCAACUCAGGUACUAUAUUCAAAGCCGUUCCGGGAGCUUUUGCUUUCAAGGCCAAGAAAUGGCCCGGCUCGCCUCACCAGAUUCCCAAGCUCUACGUUAGCGCCAGUAACAUCGAAGCUUGCUACACUCCGUCGUACACAAUUUUUGUGGCGCGUUUGCUUCAACCGCUGAUGAUCAAAAGCUGUCCGAUGAUCCUUCCUCUCCAUCUCUUGUCCCCCAACGACGCUCGCCACCACCGAGGAGCCUUCGACGGUCGACGUCACCAGAGAUCGGAGCCAAACACACACAUGAGACUCCAAAAUGAUCUCCUUACCAACCGGUACUACACCUCUUCAAGGCUGCCGUCAAGAUCACCGACUCCGAUCCGCAAAACGACGGACGAUGCGACGCCGCAGCACUCCGUGGCUUAUGUUUCUCGAUCUCCGGUGUCGCGGUGGUAAAGCAACUGCGAGGAUCACAUUUUCAAGUGAUGGCGGGAGUGGGAAGAAGAAGAAAAAGACUAGGUUUUGGUUGAAGAAGAAGAAGAAGAAGAAGAAGGGAGUAGAGAGAUCUAAAGGUGUGGUGAGGAGCAGAAGAAAAAGAGUGGGAGAAGAUUUGGUGUUUGCUUGAAGAAGAGGAAGACUGUAGCUUCCAAAUGUGGAUCGUCUUCUGAUUCCAAAGAGGCUUAUUCUUCAUGAUAAUUAGGAAGAAGAACCAGAACAGCAGCUGCAGCAUAAAGAGCAGCUUCAGCAAGGUGAUGUUGGUGUGUGGGAGUUUCUUAUUAUUGGUAGCAGAUUGUUGAAUGACUUGAUGCCUCUAGGUUGUCUUGAACUUUCAAGUUGUUUGGAAUCAAGGAAACUGAUGGUGCAGCUGCAAUGUUCUCUCAACAUGCUUGAACGAGAUACUGGGUGAUUUCAAGUUGUUGAGUAGCUUGAAAGUUUUGUGGGUCGUAGAGUUACAGGGAGAAGUAGAGAAGCAAAGGAGCGCUAGAUCAACAAGAAAAUCAGAAUGAGUGGAGGCGGCAUGGAAGUGGUGUCGUCUAGGCCACAAGAGGCUAAUGGCCAGCACAAGAGGAAUUUGCUAUGGGAACUUUCUUGUGGUCCAACUAGCCCUUGCUGUUGUUCUUGUAUCUAGUAUGAGAGAUUAUACUUUUGUUAGGCGACUUUGUUAAUUGUUUUCACUUAGUAUGGUAAUUGAUUUGUUACUGAUGUCUACCUAGCUAGUUGAUCUUUGUGUGAUGUUCAGUAAUGAUAUCUGGGUUUUGCUGA